rnacentral:rRNA from 1 species
GACGAACGCUGGCGGCGUGCUUAACACAUGCAAGUCGAACGGAAAGGCCCUGCUUUUGUGGGGUGCUCGAGUGGCGAACGGGUGAGUAACACGUGAGUAACCUGCCCUUGACUUUGGGAUAACUUCAGGAAACUGGGGCUAAUACCGGAUAGGAGCUCCUGCUGCAUGGUGGGGGUUGGAAAGUUUCGGCGGUUGGGGAUGGACUCGCGGCUUAUCAGCUUGUUGGUGGGGUAGUGGCUUACCAAGGCUUUGACGGGUAGCCGGCCUGAGAGGGUGACCGGCCACAUUGGGACUGAGCUACGGCCCGGACUCCUACGGGAGGCAGCGGUGCGGAAUAUUGCACAAUGGGCGGAAGCCUGAUGCAGCAACGCCGCGUGCGGGAUGACGGCCUUCGGGUUGUAAACCGCUUUCGCCUGUGACGAAGCGUGAGUGACGGUAAUGGGUAAAGAAGCACCGGCUAACUACGUG